CGCCAUGACCCACCUCCUCCAUUGCCGCCUUCCUUUUCUUGCCAGGCCUCUCCUCCGCCUCCUCAUUACCCAUUGCGGCCGCCAUUCUUCCCUUAUCUUCUUUUCCUCCAUUCUUUUUAUUUUUAUAUUUUUAUUUUAUAAUAAAAAUAAAAAAAUAUUUUUAAAAAAUAACAAUUAAAAAUCAAAAAACAUAACCAUGCGCAUCCUUAACUUUGCUAAACAAGAGG
rnacentral:lncRNA from 1 species